UACAGAGGGGGCAAGCGUUGUUCGGAAUUACUGGGCGUAAAGGGCGCGUAGGCGGCCCGCUAAGUCGAACGUGAAAUCCCCGAGCUCAACUCGGGAACUGCGUCCGAUACUGGUGGGCUUGAAUCCGGGAGAGGGAUGCGGAAUUCCAGGUGUAGCGGUGAAAUGCGUAGAUAUCUGGAGGAAUACCGGUGGCGAAGGCGGCUACCUGGCCCAACAUUGACACUGAGGCCCAAAAGCGUGGGGAUCAAACAGG
rnacentral:rRNA from 1 species